CGUAGGGUGCAAGCGUUAAUCGGAAUUACUGGGCGUAAAGCGUGCGCAGGCGGUCGUGCAAGACAGGUGUGAAAUCCCCGGGCUUAACCUGGGAACUGCACUUGUGACUGCACGGCUGGAGUACGGCAGAGGGGGAUGGAAUUCCGCGUGUAGCAGUGAAAUGCGUAGAUAUGCGGAGGAACACCGAUGGCGAAGGCAGUCCCCUGGGCCUGUACUGACGCUCAUGCACGAAAGCGUGGGGAGCAAACAGGAUUAGAUACCCUGGUAGUCCACGCCCUAAACGAUGUCAACUGGUUGUUGGGAAGGUUUCUUCUCAGUAACGUAGCUAACGCGUGAAGUUGACCGCCUGGGGAGUACGGCCGCAAGGUUG
rnacentral:rRNA from 1 species